CAGCCGCCGCGGGAAUACGAAGGGGGCUAGCGUUGUUCGGAUUUACUGGGCGUAAAGGGCGCGUAGGCGGAUUUGUAAGUCAGGGGUGAAAUCCCGAGGCUCAACCUCGGAACUGCCUUUGAUACUGUGGAUCUUGAGUCCGGGAGAGGUGAGUGGAACUGCGAGUGUAGAGGUGAAAUUCGUAGAUAUUCGCAAGAACACCAGUGGCGAAGGUGGCUCACUGGCCCGGAACUGACGCUGAGGCGCGAAAGCGUGGGGAGCAAACAGGAUUAGAUACCCCCGUAGUCCCUGUCUCUUAUAC
rnacentral:rRNA from 1 species